rnacentral:rRNA from 1 species
UUCAAGUGCGUAGGCUUGAGAGUUAGGUAAAUCCGGCUCUCUCUAAGGCUGAGACACGACGUCGAGCUGCUACGGCAGUGAAGUCAUUGAUGCCAUGCUUCCAGGAAAAGCCUCUAAGCUUCAGAUAGUCAGGAAUCGUACCCCAAACCGACACAGGUGGUCGGGUAGAGAAUACCAAGGCGCUUGAGAGAACUCGGGUGAAGGAACUAGGCAAAAUGGUACCGUAACUUCGGGAGAAGGUACGCUCUUGAUGGUGAAGUCCCUCGCGGAUGGAGCUGACGAGAGUCGCAGAUACCAGGUGGCUGCAACUGUUUAUUAAAAACACAGCACUGUGCAAAAUCGCAAGAUGACGUAUACGGUGUGACGCCUGCCCGGUGCCGGAAGGUUAAUUGAUGGGGUUAGCGCAAGCGAAGCUCUUGAUCGAAGCCCCGGUAAACGGCGGCCGUAACUAUAACGGUCCUAAGGUAGCGAAAUUCCUUGUCGGGUAAGUUCCGACCUGCACGAAUGGCGUAAUGAUGGCCACGCUGUCUCCACCCGAGACUCAGUGAAAUUGAAAUCGCUGUGAAGAUGCAGUGUACCCGCGGCUAGACGGAAAGACCCCGUGAACCUUUACUACAGCUUGGCACUGAACAUUGAACCUACAUGUGUAGGAUAGGUGGGAGGCUAUGAAGACGUGACGCCAGUUGCGUUGGAGCCGUCCUUGAAAUACCACCCUUGUAUGUUUGAUGUUCUAACUUAGCCCCAUUAUCUGGGGUGAGGACAGUGCCUGGUGGGUAGUUUGACUGGGGCGGUCUCCUCCCAAAGAGUAACGGAGGAGCACGAAGGUGGGCUAAUCACGGUUGGACAUCGUGAGGUUAGUGCAAUGGCAUAAGCCCGCUUAACUGCGAGAAUGACGGUUCGAGCAGGUGCGAAAGCAGGUCAUAGUGAUCCGGUGGUUCUGUAUGGAAGGGCCAUCGCUCAACGGAUAAAAGGUACUCCGGGGAUAACAGGCUGAUACCGCCCAAGAGUUCAUAUCGACGGCGGUGUUUGGCACCUCGAUGUCGGCUCAUCACAUCCUGGGGCUGAAGUCGGUCCCAAGGGUAUGGCUGUUCGCCAUUUAAAGUGGUACGCGAGCUGGGUUUAGAACGUCGUGAGACAGUUCGGUCCCUAUCUGCCGUGGGCGUUGGAAGAUUGAAGGGGGCUGCUCCUAGUACGAGAGGACCGGAGUGGACGAACCUCUGGUGUUCGGGUUGUGUCGCCAGACGCAUUGCCCGGUAGCUAAGUUCGGAAUUGAUAAGCGCUGAAAGCAUCUAAGCGCGAAGCGAGCCCUGAGAUGAGUCUUCCCUGAUACUUUAAGUAUCCUAAAGGGUUGUUCGAGACUAGAACGUUGAUAGGCAGGGUGUGUAAGCGUUGUGAGGCGUUGAGCUAACCUGUACUAAUUGCCCGUGAGGCUUAACCAUACAACACCCAAGG